rnacentral:lncRNA from 1 species
GACAGAAUUCAUUAUUUUACUGAUCCAAAUGGCAAUUUAAAAAUGGGCACCUCUUAAGAAGAGACCAGGAAGGGUCUGAUAACUGUUUUUAAAUUUAUGUGGACUAGUUCGUUGUAAAUAAGUUUGUUUUUACUUAUAAUCAUGUUUGUUAAAGUUUUUUGUUUCCUUUUUUGCAUGUGCUUUUUUUAGUUGAAUUUGAACAUCUAACUGACUUUGAUUCACAGCCAAUGUGGACUUAUUCAUGUCAUUUGUUGUAAAGCAUGUUUCUUUUUAACCAAAAUCUUUUUUGUUUUCUGUCUGUCCUGUUUCUUUUUUUCCAUGUGCUUUUUUAGUUUCAAUUCACUGUUGCGUUGUCUGUUUUAGUUGACUCAAGUUUAUGGUGUAUUUCUAACUGAUGAGUCCUGAAUGCACUGUAUGGGUCAUUAACCUCAAUUAGGACGAAACACAUCCAAUAGUUUUUUUUCAAAUUUUCAGAUAUAUGUAACCCCAUUUAAGAUUAAACAUUUCAUAUUAAAAUCAAGAAACACAUAAAUUUAUGUGAUAUUACUUUUGGAUGUGUCUUAGAGCACCUAGCCUGCUUUUUAAAAAAAAACUUCUAUGUACCUCUAUUGAAAGAUCUUGGUUCUAAGAUCAUGAAUUCCAGAAUAUUUUAUAUUUUUUAAAAUUCAUUUUUGCUCACACGAAAACGAAACAUUCUAGAGGGCAGUACUCAGUCUCUUAUGUCUUA